rnacentral:rRNA from 1 species
AUGCAGGUCCCGGAGCAGCAGCGGCAGCAGAGGGCGCCCGUGAUGGCAAUGAACUCGGACAUGGUGGUCAUCCUGGCGUCGCUCUUGUGCGCGCUCGUCCUCGCCCUCGUCACCCACUGCGCAUGCAGACGCCGGCGCUACGCCAAUUCUCCUCCUCCCCCCAAGGGCCUCAAGAAGAAGGACAUCGAUGCUCUCCCCACCGUCUCCUUCGCUGCCGCGGCUCCAGCGCAGUCAUCGUCGUCGUCGUCGUCGUCAGAAUGCGGGAUCUGCCUGGCCGAGUUCAUGGAGGGGGAGGGACUGCGCGUGCUCCCGCAGUGCGGCCACGGCUUUCAUGUCGCAUGCGUCGACGCCUGGCUACGGACCUGCGCCACAUGCCCCUCCUGCCGCGCCCCCAUGGUUGCCACGCCCGCGACUCCCACUGUGGUGGUCGUAGUGGCGGCGAACAACAGGUGCGAGAGGUGCGGCGAUCGAGAUGGCGGCGCCUAA